rnacentral:rRNA from 1 species
CAGGGGGGUUCACCGUAGCAGCGGCGAGCGAGGGGGAAGAGCUCAAAUUUGUAAUCUGGCACCUUCGGAGUCCGAGUUGUAAUCUCUAGAAGUGUUUUCCGCGUUGGACCGCACACAAGUCUGUUGGAAUACAGCGGCAUAGUGGUGAUACCCCAUUACACGGGGCGGACGCCCAGCGCUUUGGGAUACACUUUCGACGAGUCGAGUUGUUUGGGAAUGCAGCUCAAAUUGGGGGGAAAAUUCCAUCUAAAGCUAAAUAUUGGCGAGAGACCGAUAGCGAACAAGUACCGUGGGGAAAAGAUGAAAAGCACUUUGGAAAGAGAGUUAAAAGUACGUGAAAUUGUUGGAGGGGAAACGCUUGAAGUCAGACUUGCUUGCCGGGCUUGCUCGGUUUGCAGGCCAGCAUCAGUUUUCUGGGACGGAUAAGGGCAGUAAGAAUGUAGCAGCCUCGGCUGUGUUAUAGCUUCCUGCUGGAUACGCCCGGGGGAACUGAGGAACGCAGCGUGCCGUAUGGCGGGGCGCUUUGGUCCUUUCACGCUUUAGGAUGCUGGUGGAAUGGCUUUAAACGACCCCGUCUUGAAAAAAAAGGGACCAA